rnacentral:sRNA from 1 species
GCCAGGCGUGGUGGCACAUGCCUGUAAUCCCAGCAGCUUGGGAGGCUGAAGCAUGAGGAUCACAACUUUGAGGCCAGCCUCAGCAACUUAGCAAGGCCCUAAGCAAGUGAGACCCUGUCUCAG